rnacentral:lncRNA from 1 species
UAUUAUUCCAGGGUUAAUGGAUGGACAGCAUUAAUGUUGGCAGCCAGUGAAGGACAUGUGGAAGUGUCUCGACUACUUCUGGAGAACAGAUGUAACAAAGAUAUCACAGAUGUAUGUUAUCUACUAAAUCUGAUCACAUUACUUUUAAUCAACACAAAAUCAUGUUGUUAAUUAGACAGGUUUAAUGAACAAAUAUUUGUAAUAAUCAUAUAAAGUGGGGUCUCAUUUUACUCAUAGUAUUGUUCUGAAUCAGAAAAUAUAACUUUUUUCAUAUUUCUUUGAAAAAUUUACUUUUAUAAAAUUUAUGAUUUACUGAAUCUACACUAAAUCCUGUUGUUAAUCAGACAGUUUUAAUUAAUGUGACUGGUCAUUUUUGUUUAUAUUUAUUACACAACAUUGUCCAGUUUAUCAGACAAGUUUUGAUGUCAGUUGUAUUAUUCCAGGUAUGGAUGGACAGCAUUAAUGUUGGCAGCCAGGGAAGGACAUGUGGAAGUGUCUCGACUACUUCUGGAGAACAGAUGUAACAAAGAUAUCACAGAUGUAUGUUAUCUACUAAAUCUGAUCACAUUACUUUUAAUCAACACAAAAUCAUGUUGUUAAUUAGACAGGUUUAAUGAACAACUAAUAUAUUUGUAAUAAUCAUAUAAAGUGGGGUCUCAUUUUACUCGUAGUAUUGUUCUGAAUCAGAAAAUAUAACUUUUUUCAUUUUUCUUUGAAAAAUUUACUUUUAUAAAAUUUAUGAUUUUACUGAAUCUACACUAAAUCCUGUUGUUAAUCAGACAGUUUUAAUUAAUGUGACUAUUUAUUUUUGUUUAUAUUUAUUACACAACAUUGUCCAGUUUAUCAGACAAGUUUUGAUGUCAGUUGUAUUAUUCCAGGUUAGUGGAUGGACAGCAUUAAUGUGGGCAGCCAGGGAGGACAUGUGGAAGUGUCUCGACUACUUCUGGAGAACAGAUGUAACAAAGAUAUCACAGAUGUAUGUUAUCUACUAAAUCUGAUCACAUUACUUUUAAUCAAC